AUGUGUAUUCCUGUCUGAGUAUAAUCAUACAGUGGUUAAGUACACUCUUGCAGCAAAUGGAGUGACAAAUUAACAGUGAAUAUUGAAUUUCAGCACCAAUAAUAACAAUGGAUGGCCCUGGGUUUCUCACUUUUUAGGUUUUUGUCUUACAUAAGGAGUCACUGUUAUAUAACUGUAUCCCUUAAGCAUGAUAUCUAAAGUGCCACCUUGUUUUUUUUCCACCCUCCUCCAUGUUUUUCAUAAUGCCACGGAGAGACGCAGAGAGGAAGAGAAAAGCAACAAGCAAGGACCAAUGAACAGAGCAGCGGCAUUCAGUUCACUCAGCUAGCCUUGUGCCACCGACUGCAGUCACAUCACCAGCCAGUUUGCAUCAACUGACAGAAAUAGCUCCGGUGUCAUGCAUUCUGUCCUGAGGAAACAGAUGUCCUGCUGGGACCCGUGAAGGCUCAGAGUGUGUUGGGCCUUUUACCUCAUACUGGAAACAUCCAAAAUGCCUGUUCACCCAGGAGGACAGUUGAGGGAAACACAGAUGAACAGAUGGGUGGAGAGAUGGACACAGAGAAAUGGAUGGAUGAAUGGAAGAGAAGCAGAUGGGUGGUAUGUUCUCCAGCAGCACAAAGCAAUGGGACAGCUGAACACACAGCUGAGUAACAAGCUGCUGCUGGCACCACACAAGGUUCUUACUUCAGUUGUAGGGAUAAUAACAAUUAAUUAGCAAUUAAUAUCAACUUAAUAUUGAUGUGUUUUAUGAUUCAUGUCUGCAGGAAGAUUAAGGUUGAUAUUGAAAUAGUAGUCAACAAUACCUCACACUGUCAGGCUUUAGGUAAUUCAGACAGCUUAAUUGAAAAGCUGUCUAAAAGUAUUUCCUUACCGCCCUCGGGCAGAAUUUAGGUUUGCCAACUAGCAGUCCUGUCACUCCCUCAGACUCAGCAUCACAUUGUUAGUCAUGUUGAAAUGUCAUUUCAUUUAUUUGGUCCUAACAACUCAGUAAUGUAGAAAAAAUACACUGCAAGUGAAUAGUCCAACAUUUCUGGGAAAUCAGCUAAGUCUCUUUCUUUCUGAGAGUGAGGCGAAAAGACUAAUAUCAAGUGUGUUGAUUAGUGUGGAGAUGGAACAUGGUUAGCCUAGCUUAGCAUAAAGGCAAUAAACAGCCAGCACACUCCCACUCAACACUAUCCCCAGUGUGUUGAACUUCCCCUUUAUUUGGACUUCCUACAUUAAAAACAAUGCACAUGCACUGUAUCACAGAACACAGUGUGCAGAAACAGUUACAUAUUAAUUAAAACUAUGUCAUGAUUGUUAUAUGAAAACUGAAACUCUGCAUUAGCUGAAAAUAAAACUCACUUUACACAG